AUUGAACGCUGGCGGCAGGCCUAACACAUGCAAGUCGAACGGUAACAGGAAACAGCUUGCUGUUUCGCUGACGAGUGGCGGACGGGUGAGUAAUGUCUGGGAAACUGCCUGAUGGAGGGGGAUAACUACUGGAAACGGUAGCUAAUACCGCAUAACGUCGCAAGACCAAAGAGGGGGACCUUCGGGCCUCAUGCCAUCGGAUGUGCCCAGAUGGGAUUAGCUAGUAGGUGGGGUAACGGCUCACCUAGGCGACGAUCCCUAGCUGGUCUGAGAGGAUGACCAGCCACACUGGAACUGAGACACGGUCCAGACUCCUACGGGAGGCAGCAGUGGGGAAUAUUGCACAAUGGGCGCAAGCCUGAUGCAGCCAUGCCGCGUGUAUGAAGAAGGCCUUCGGGUUGUAAAGUACUUUCAGCGGGGAGGAAGGGAGUAAAGUUAAUACCUUUGCUCAUUGACGUUACCCGCAGAAGAAGCACCGGCUAACUCCGUGC
rnacentral:rRNA from 1 species